GCACAGUUGGAUUUCGGCUGAUGCUGUCCAUGCUCCCCGUCUUGUGCGCUCUUUCCAUUCUCGUUUUCCUGCCAGGCCUGGUCCUACCCGCCCGGGGGGCGUGUCCUCAGGGGGGGGUACUGUAGCGUUACUUACCUUAACCGGGGGCCGGUCGCGGUCCUCUCUUCAAGCCGCGCGCGGUCCUGCGGCUGCACGAGCCGCGCGCGGCUCAUCCGACUGCUUCUGCGGUCACGUGUCCCGCCUGAAACUAAGAGCGCGCCGCGAGUCUCGGGCGCGCUCUUAAAGAGACAGUGGGAGCCUAAUUGCC